rnacentral:tRNA from 1 species
AGGAUUUUAAGUUAACUAAACUGUAAGCCUUCAAAGCUUAAAAUGAGAAUAUUUUCAAAUCCUG